rnacentral:rRNA from 1 species
GUGGGGAAUAUUGGGCAAUGGGGGCAACCCUGACCCAGCAACGCCGCGUGAGGGAAGAAGGUUUUCGGAUUGUAAACCUCUGUCCUAUGGGAAGAAGGAAGUGACGGUACCAUAGGAGGAAGCCCCGGCUAACUACGUGCCAGCAGCCGCGGUAAUACGUAGGGGGCGAGCGUUGUCCGGAAUUACUGGGCGUAAAGGGUGCGCAGGUGGCCUGACAAGUCAGAUGUGAAAUACCGAUGCUUAACGUCGGGGCUGCAUUUGAAACUAUGAGGCUGGAGUGCAGGAGAGGGAAGCGGAAUUCCUAGUGUAGCGGUGAAAUGCAUAGAUAUUAGGAGGAACACCAGUGGCGAAGGCGGCUUUCUGGACGAAAACUGACGCUGAGGCGCGAAAGCCAGGGGAGCGAACGGGAUUAGAAACCCGUGUAGUCC